GCCUGUUGCACAAAAGUAGAAUUAAGACAUCCGGGAUAAAUGACUCAGCUGAGCUCAAUGAAGCCAAAACAUGUGCGUCCAGGCUUAAUUGGUUGCACAAAGACCAAGCCAGGAUGAGCAGACACGGAUUCAUUAAGCCAGGUGAAACCAAUCCUGGAUAGGUGCGCGCUCACGGCUCACUCAAAUAGACCCCGCCACAGAUCACAGAUUAACUGAUUUACCAUGGCAACUAGAGCCGCGUACUUUUCCCCGUCGGAAGCACAAAUCCUCAUGGAGGCAUACGAGGAGGUAAAAGAUAUAAUUAAGAAGAAAGGCAACACCGCCACAGUGAUAAAGCAAAGAGAAAAAGCGUGGCAAAGUAUUGCAGACCGCCUGAAUGCGUAAGUAGUGCACAAUUACACAGUCACCGCUCCGCUGAAACAUCACAAUUACAAUUCAAAUAUUUAAUUCACAUCUCCAAAAAUGCAGUUGUACUGUAAUUAUGAAACGGUUAAAUUUUUAAUUGAAAUGCACUGCAGAUAUGAGUGAAAUUGUGUAAAGUAACUCCAUCACACUGUAUAAAGCUAUGAUACAUUUUUUGAUAUUUUUACUGAAAACAAGACAAAAAUACCAAGUAAUUUUUUGCAGUGUGACUCCAUUAAAUGUGUGUGUGUGUGUGUGUGUGUGUGUGUGUGUGUGUAGAUUAAACAUGAACGGGCCAAAACGGACAUGGCAGCAGGUCAAAAUCAAAUACAAGAACAUUCUGCAGAAUGCAGUGAAAAAGAAUACCCACAGACAAGGCACGGGUGGUGGGUCACCAAAGGCUGACCUUACCCCAGCAGAGGACAUGGCCUUGGAGCUAAAUAAAGACAGGCCCGUCUUAGAGGGGAUCCCUGGGGGGAAAGAGACGAGCAUAGGUUCCUCCCAAGAUGACACCCGCUUCAUUCAAGUGUCUGGCAGCACUGUGUUCCUGUUAGAGCCACCAGCACAAGCACCAGAUGAUGCUGAUCCAGGUGAAGGCCCCAGUGCAGCAGCAACAGCACAUGAUGGAGACGAUGAUGAGGAGGAGACCAUCUCUCUGGAUUCCAGAAGGCAUGAGGUAUCAUGUUAAGACUGUGAAAGUACUAUUUACUCUACAAUGGUGAGGAGUCCUCAUCAAAAUCAAAAAAUCGAAUUUCUUUUACAGGACCCAGAUGCUAUACAGUGGGAAAACCAGCCUGGCAACAUAGUGCGUAUUACUAAAAGGACACCACAUCCUGCCAAAUUCCAGCUGCGCUAAUUGUAUUGUGUUCACAGAGCUCACAAGCUAUCAGAAAGUUGUAUGGCAACCACCUCCGGCGCCAAAUAGAACUGGCAGACAUAGACAUUCAGUACAAGAAGAAAAAGAUGGAAAAUCUUGCACUGGAGUCCGAAAUAAAAAAGAGGACAAUUAGGAAACUGGACCUUGAAAUAAAAAAACUUGAGAGGGAGCUCCAAGAAGAUGACACAGCUCAAAAUAAAAAUUAGGUAUAUUCUCGUAAAGUCAAGUGAGCCAUGACAUAUGAGCUCUUAUUGUGAGCACACAGGACGGUGGCAUCUUUCUAAGUUUUUUUUUAUUUUCCCAGCAAUCAGUACAACCAAGUCAUCGUUAUAAGGCAUCGCCCUCUUUUGCCCACCCCCCCAGCACCAGGUGUGGCCACUAGCCUAUAUGAAGGCCCAAAAUUGUGUGUUCCUUUCUGCUCUGACAAUGGCAUGCCCAUUCGUGCGAGAUGUGGUGGAUGAAGAAGCACUUGUGCUGAGGAGAGCCUUCAGGCGAGAAAGGGUCUUCAGGGACCGGUUGGACCCACUGGCCUUCCCUGAUGACCAUCUAUAUGAAAGAUACAGGUUUUCUGCAGAUGGCAUCAGGUAUCAAUGCAGACUACUGGGUCCCAGGAUUAAGCACCGCACUGCACGGAGCCAUGCACUGAGUGUGGAGCAAAUGGUUUGUGUGGCCUUGCGCUUUUUUGCUAGUGGAGCCUUCCUGUACUCAGUGGGGGAUGCAGAACAGCUGAACAAGGCCACAAUUUGCCGCACAAUAAGGAGUGUGUGUCUGGCUAUCAAAGCAUUAGCAGAUGUCUUCAUCUCCUUCCCUGGCCACAGAAGACUCUGUGACAUCAA